rnacentral:rRNA from 1 species
GACGAACGCUGGCGGCGUGCUUAACACAUGCAAGUCGAACGGGCCCGCCCCUGUUUUUGGGGGUGGGUUGAGUGGCGAACGGGUUAGUAUCACGUUAGUAACCUGCCCCCUGCUCCUUGAUAACUGCUUGAAAGGGCGGCUAAUACGGGGUGUGCCGGCUGGUCCGCAUGGGCCUGGUCGGGAUAGUUUCAUCUUCGGGUGUUUCGGUGGGGGAUGGGCUCGCGGCCUAUCAGCUUGUUGGUGGGGUGAUGGCCCACCAAGGCGGUGACGGGUAGCCGGCGUGAGAGGGUGGGCGGCCACACUGGGACUGGGACACGGGCGAGAGUGCUGCGGGAGGGAGCAGUGGGGGGUAUUGCAGAGUGGGAGGAAGCCUGAUGGAGCGACGUCGCGUGAGGGAUGGAGGCCUGCGGGUUGAGAACCUCUUUGUCCGGUGGUGAAGGCCCUGUCCGUUGCGGCGGGGUUGACGGUAGCCGGGUAUGAAGCGCCGGCUAACUACGUG